AAAGCUCCCUUCGGGGAGUGCAUAAAGUGGCGCACGGGUGAGUAACACGUAAGUAAUCUACCUUCGAGUGGGGAAUAACCCGGGGAAACCCGAGCUAAUACCGCAUAAUGCAGCGGCACCUAAUGGUGACAGUUGUUAAAGGAGCAAUCCGCUUGAAGAGGAGCUUGCGGCAGAUUAGCUUGUUGGUAAGGUAACGGCUUACCAAGGCAACGAUCUGUAUCCGGUCUAAGAGGACGGUCGGACACACUGACACUGAAUAACGGGUCAGACUCCUACGGGAGGCAGCAGUCGGGAAUUUUGGGCAAUGGGGGAAACCCUGACCCAGCAACGCCGCGUGAAGGAUGAAGUAUUUCGGU
rnacentral:rRNA from 1 species